AUGUUCUCCAUCGCGGUAGAUCUGCGGAUUUCUGCCGUAGCGGACCUUAUUGACUUAGGGCAUCUCGCGUUCCAGCGUCCUUUUGGACAUGAGGAGAAUCAGGCAUGGCAGGACCUGCUUUACUGCAUUGCUUUGCACGAGCCAGAUCUGGAGAUUGGAGAGGACUGCACCAGGUGGCGACUAGAGCCUUCUAGGCAAUUCUACUCUAAAUCUCUCUACGAGGCUAUAGCCCCUUUGCCAGGUCCUGAGGCUCUCACCACCAUCUAGGCGAUUCGGCUCCCCUUAAAGAUUAUGAUCUUCUUAUGGCAAUGGAUUUGUGGCCGCCUUCCGACCAACAUCGAGGUCCUGAAACGCAACGGACCAGGUGAUGGGCAAUGCCCACUUUGUGGGACUGAAGAGGAUAUGAACCAUAUCUUCUUCUCAUGCGUGUCCGCGUUGUUCCUCUAG
rnacentral:rRNA from 1 species